rnacentral:rRNA from 1 species
UACAGAGGUCCCAAGCGUUGUUCGGAUUCAUUGGGCGUAAAGGGUGUGUAGGUGGCGCCGUAAGUCGGGUGUGAAAUUUCGGAGCUUAACUCCGGACCUGCAUUCGAUACUGCGGUGCUUGAGGACUGGAGAGGAGACUGGAAUUCAUGGUGUAGCAGUGAAAUGCGUAGAGAUCAUGAGGAAGACCAGUGGCGAAGGCGGGUCUCUGGACAGUUCCUGACACUGAGACACGAAGGCCAGGGGAGCAAACGGG